rnacentral:tRNA from 1 species
GGAUGGAUGUCUGAGCGGUUGAAAGAGUCGGUCUUGAAAACCGAAGUAUUAAUGAAUACCGGGGGUUCGAAUCCCUCUCCAUCCG